rnacentral:rRNA from 1 species
UACAGAGGGGGCAAGCGUUGUUCGGAAUUACUGGGCGUAAAGGGCGCGUAGGCGGCCAACUAAGUCGGACGUGAAAUCCCCGGGCUCAACCCGGGAACUGCGUCCGAUACUGGAUGGCUUGAAUCCGGGAGAGGGAUGUGGAAUUCCAGGUGUAGCGGUGAAAUGCGUAGAUAUCUGGAGGAACACCGGUGGCGAAGGCGGCUCUCUGGAACGCAACUGACGCUGAGGCGCGAAAGCUAGGGGAGCAAACAGG